AAGCACCUAAGUUGUGUGAGGGCAGUCUUGGGAAAGGAAGAGGAUCAUAUAUAACCUUGCUUUCCAGUUUCUGGUAAUAGCCUCCUAAAGUAAUGCUCUUUCGAUUCUCAGGCAUUGCAUUUAUUACCACAGUAGCCUCAGGGUUUCGUUUAAUAACACUGAGGGAAUGAAUCUUACUUCCUUAUUCAUAGCUCAUAUUUUGUUUCUUAAAUUGAUAAUGUUUUUAUUUGCAAGGGCCUAUCCUGGGAGCUAGUUAUAAGGAAGUGGCUUAUCCAAAGACUCUGCGUGAGCGUGGAGUUGGUCCUGAUGUCAAGGGGAAGCGAGUGCCAAAACUAGAGGUCAUUAAAGAGCUGGAAGGAGGGCCUGUCCUGGGAGCUACUCAGCAGGAACUGGCAUAUCCAAAGUUUGAGCAUGAGCGUGCAGAAGGUUCUGAUGUCAAGCUGAAGCGAGUGCCAAAACUAGAGCUCGUUAAAGUGCAGGCAGGAGGGCAAGGGAAGCCACAGAUUUAAACGAAGAUGAGCUGAAGCCAUGUAGGCAGUUCUUGUGUUGGAAAUUUGACUGUUAAAAUUCUCUCAAUAAAGAUUUGCA